rnacentral:rRNA from 1 species
GCCCUUUUCAGCGAAGAGGUAAGGUGGUAAGCUUAAUACGAUUCAUCAAUUGACGUUACCUAGCAGAAGAGGCCCCGGCUAACUCCGUCCCAGCAGCCGCGGUAAUUCCGGACGGUGCAAGCGUUAAUCGGAAUUACUGGGCGUAAAGCGCACGCAGUCGGUUUGUUAAGUCAGAUGUGAAAUCCCCGGGCUCAACCUGGGAACUGCAUUUGAAACUGGCAAGCUAGAGUCUCGUAGAGGGGGGUAGAAUUCCAGGUGUAGCGGUGAAAUGCGUAGAGAUCUGGAGGAAUACCGGUGGCGAAGGCGGCCCCCUGGACGAAGACUGACGCUCAGGUGCGAAAGCGUGGGGAGCAAACAGGAUUAGAUACCCUGGUAGUCCACGCUGUAAACGAUGUCGAUUUGGAGGUUGUGCCCUUGAGGCGUGGCUUCCGGAGCUAACGCGUUAAAUCGACCGCCUGGGGAGUACGGCCGCAAGGUUAAAACUCAAAUGAAUUGACGGGGGCCCGCACAAGCGGUGGAGCAUGUGGUUUAAUUCGAUGCAACGCGAAGAACCUUACCUACUCUUGACAUCCAGAGAACUUAGCAGAGAUGUUUUGGUGCCUUCGGGAACUAUGAGACAGGUGCUGCAUGGCUGUCGUCAGCUCGUGUUGUGAAAUGUUGGGUUAAGUCCCGCAACGAGCGCAACCCUUAUCCUUUGUUGCCAGCGGUUCGGCCGGGAACUCAAAGGAGACUGCCAGUGAUAAACUGGAGGAAGGUGGGGAUGACGUCAAGUCAUCAUGGCCCUUACGAGUAGGGCUACACACGUGCUACAAUGGCGUAUACAAAGAGAAGCGACCUCGCGAGAGCAAGCGGACCUCAUAAAGUACGUCAGUAGUCCGGAUUGGAGUCUGCAACUCGACUCCAUGAAGUCGGAAUCGCUAGUAAUCGUAGAUCAGAAUGCUACGGUGAAUACGUUCCCGGGCCUUGUACACACCGCCCGUCACCCCAUGGGAGUGGGUCGCAAAAGAAGUAGGUAGCUUAACCUUCGGGAG